AACGCAAAUUGCGCUCUUUGGUAUUCCGAAGAGCAUGCUUGUUUGAGUAUCAGUAAACACCUCAACCCUUCAAGUUCUUGGAAGGUUGGAUUUGAGCAAACCCAAUUCUCUCUCUGGAGAGAGGCGGGUUGCUUGAAAUGCAGGUGCAGCUGUACAGGAACAGACUGGGCUAAAAGCAUAUCUAUUUAGGCUGCGUAUGUGCUCUCGCACAGAUGUGGACUAUUACAUUUUGCUGCAGCCACUCCAAGGUCUUCCUUUGUGCAUUCGCUGGCUGAUGCAGGAUUUUGAGAGGAUUAUCUCCUCUUUCAAAACUCGAUCUCAAAUCAAGUAAGACUACCCGCUGAACUUAA
rnacentral:misc_RNA from 1 species